rnacentral:rRNA from 1 species
CACGUAGGGGGCGAGCGUUGUCCGGAAUCAUUGGGCGUAAAGAGCUCGUAGGCGGCUCAGUAAGUCGGGUGUGAAACCCUCAGGCUCAACCUGGGGACGCCACCCGAUACUGCUGUGGCUAGAGUCCAGUAGGGGGAGUGUGGAAUUCCCGGUGUAGCGAUGAAAUGCGCAGAUAUCGGGAGGAACACCAGCGGCGAAGGCGGCACUCUGGGCUGGAACUGACGCUGAGGAGCGAAAAG